UAUGACCUCAAAUCAGGUAGGACUACCCGCU
rnacentral:rRNA from 1 species